AACGAGAGACAUGUACAUAUAUCACAACCAAGUGAUCUGGUUAUGUUAUUAUAAAACAUAGGGAGGGCCGCGGUGAUUUAGCAUCUUCAUGUACUCCACACCUUGCGCAGUUGGUUUUCAUCUAAUUCUUGGCUGCAGGCUUGCUUCCCGUUGUCUAAGAAAACAGUCAUAAUAAAAAGCUUGUAAGCACAUAAUCAAUGCCCCAUAAGUGUUAGAAGAUUCUAUGUAAGAAUAAACUUAAGAAAUAAAUGGAGAAUAAGUGCUUAUAAUUCAAUAGCAUGAUGGGGUAUGUAGGCUUGCUUGCUUACCUUCUUCUUAGGCUCCCUAGGCUUUGGCUCAGCCUUCUUAGGGGCUGGUUUGGAGGCCGGAGCUCUGGGCGUGGUGCUACUAGCUUUGGGAGCAGGUUCUUUCUUGGCCUGCCC
rnacentral:lncRNA from 1 species